GUAGGUGGCAAGCGUUGUCCGGAAUUAUUGGGCGUAAAGCGCGCGCAGGCGGUUCUUUAAGUCUGAUGUGAAAGCCCACGGCUCAACCGUGGAGGGUCAUUGGAAACUGGAGAACUUGUGUACAGAAGAGGAAAGCGGAAUUCCACGUGUAGCGGUGAAAUGCGUAGAGAUGUGGAGGAACACCAGUGGCGAAGGCGGCUUUCUGGUCUGUAACUGACGCUGAGGCGCGAAAGCGUGGGGAGCAAACAGGGAUUAGAUACCCUGGUAGUCCACGCCGUAAACGAUGAGUGCUAAGUGUUAGGGGGUUUCCGCCCCCUUAGUGCUGCAGCUAACGCAUUAAGCACUCCGCCUCGGGAGUACGGCCGCAAGGCUG
rnacentral:rRNA from 1 species